UUUUUUUUUUUUCUCGUCUGAGGACCACUGCCGGCGUGCCUCAUACAUCAUAGUAGUCGAGAUGGCAUAAGAGAGUUCUCUUAUGAAGUUAACCGCGGACGGGUGAAUUACCCGUGGGUAACCUGCCCAUAAGGCUGGGAUUACUUCGGGAAACCGGGAGUUAUUCCGGAUUACAUCUUGAACCGCCAGGUUUGAAAUUGAAAGGCCGGUUUGGCUGUCCAUUAUCGAAGGGCCCGGGGCGCCAUAAGUUAGUGGUGAGGGUACGGGUCCCCCAAGCAGCGAAGGGUUACCGGCCUGGGAAGGUUGUUGGCCCCCAUGGGGAUGGAGCCCGGCCCCAGAUUCUUCGGGGGGCCACCAUUAGGAAUUUUUCCCCAAGGGAGAAAAUUUGGCGGAACCACCCCGGGUGGAGGAAGAAAGGUUUUGGGUUGUAAAACUUUUUUGUUUGGGAAGGACCAAUUCUAGUAGAAUAAGCUGGCACCUUGACGGUACCUAACCAGAAAGCCACGGCUAACUACGUGCCAGCAGCCGCGGUAAUACGUAGGUGGCAAGCGUUAUCCGGAAUUAUUGGGCGUAAAGCGCGCGCAGGCGGUUUCUUAAGUCUGAUGUGAAAGCCCACGGCUCAACCGUGGAGGGUCAUUGGAAACUGGGAGACUUGAGUGCAGAAGAGGAAAGUGGAAUUCCAUGUGUAGCGGUGAAAUGCGUAGAGAUAUGGAGGAACACCAGUGGCGAAGGCGACUUUCUGGUCUGUAACUGACGCUGAGGCGCGAAAGCGUGGGGAGCAAACAGGAUUAGAUACCCUGGUAGUCCACGCCGUAAACGAUGAGUGCUAAGUGUUAGAGGGUUUCCGCCCUUUAGUGCUGCAGUUAACGCAUUAAGCACUCCGCCCUGGGAGACGGGA
rnacentral:rRNA from 1 species